ACCAGGCAUGGUGACACAUGCCUGAGUCCCAGCUACUCAGGAGGCUGAGGAUCCUCCGAUGGGAGGAUCACUUGAGCCCACCAGUUCUGGGCCAUAGUGCAUUAUGCUCCUUGAGUGUCCACACUAUGUUUGGCAUCAAUAUGGUGACCCCCCAGAAGUGGGAGACCACCAGGUUGCCUAAGGAGAGAUGAGUUUGCCUAGGUAGGAAAUGAAGCAGGUCAAAACUCACAACUCACAAGUGGGAUGGUGCCUUUGAAGAGCCAUUGCACUAUAGCCUGGGCAACAUAGUGAGACCCCAUCCU
rnacentral:SRP_RNA from 1 species